UACGUAGGCAGCGAGCGUUGUUCGGAGUUACUGGGCGUAAAGAGUGCGUAGGCGGUUUUCUAAGUUUGGUGUGAAAUCUCCCGGCUCAACUGGGAGGGUGCGCCGAAGACUGGAAGGCUUGAGUAUGGGAGAGGUAAGCGGAAUUCCUGGUGUAGCGGUGAAAUGCGUAGAUAUCUGGAGGAACACCGGUGGCGAAGGCGGCAUCCUGGACCAAUAUUGACGCUGAGGAGCGAAAGCCAGGGGAGCAAACGGG
rnacentral:rRNA from 1 species